AAACUUUUAAUAAGAAGCCUGUUUAUCAUAACUCAAAAAGUGAAUAUAAGAAUAAGUGGAUAGAUUAGAUCUCCAUUUAUCAUUUUCUUUUUUCUAUAUUACGACGGUGCCCCAUGUGUUACAAUAUGAAAGCCAGUGAUGCCCAAACUACGGCCCGCGGGCCAGAUCCGGCCCACUUCAUUGAGUAGACAAACGUUUCACUUUAAUAAAGCAAAUGAAACCGAUCUUACAUAAUACUGAUGAUAAUAGCCAUACGUCACGUGUGUAUGUAGGCCAAAUAUAGAGUUUCGGGUUUCUAAUAAAACUAUUUAAAAUGGUUUAUUAUCUAUUUCUUUUUUUGUAUCUAUUCGAUGAUGUGGCCCGCGACACGAGUGUCAGAAAUUGAACUGGCCCGCCAGCCAAAAAUAGUUGGGCAACACUGCAAUAAUCUAUAAUCUAUAUACUUACACAACUUUAAAGUAUAAUUCAUCAUUUACCAAAACAAAAGUUUAAGUGCCACAGAUAUUUUUUUGACUAUUUAAAUUUCUGUUUAAAUCAAUUUUUGAACAUCAUUAGACUUACAUGAUUUUUUUGCCUUUUUUAGUUUAGUCGAAAGUUUCUUUUAUUGUUCAUGAAUAUUCAUAAAUUACUAUUUGGAUAUUACUAUACGUUCAUCUAGGUGCAACUCCUACUAGUGUCUACUCAGCUCCAAGAAAGACAUUCAGUGCUACUCCUACAAGUGUCUCCUCAGUGCCAGAAGAAGAGACCACUUUUUUUUCCUCUCAGAUGUUUGGUGCAACUCCUACUAGUGUCAACUCAGUUCCAAGAAAGACAUUCGGUGCCACUCCUACAAGUGUCUUCUCAGUGCCAGAAGAGACCACU
rnacentral:sRNA from 1 species